rnacentral:rRNA from 1 species
UCCGUAGGUGGAUAAUUAAGUCAGGGGUGAAAGUCUGCAGCUCAACUGUAGAAUUGCCCUUGAUACUGGUUGUCUUGAAUUAUUGUGAAGUGGUUAGAAUAUGUAGUGUAGCGGUGAAAUGCAUAGAUAUUACAUAGAAUACCAAUUGCGAAGGCAGAUCACUAACAAUAUAUUGACACUGAUGGACGAAAGCGUGGGGAGCGAACAGGAUUAGAUACCCUGGUAGUCC